rnacentral:rRNA from 1 species
UACGGGGGGGGCAAGCGUUGUUCGGAAUUACUGGGCGUAAAGGGCUCGUAGGCGGCCCACUAAGUCAGACGUGAAAUCCCUCGGCUUAACUGGGGAACUGCGUCUGAUACUGGAUGGCUUGGAUUUGGGAGAGGGAUGCGGAAUUCCAGGUGUAGCGGUGAAAUGCGUAGAUAUCUGGAGGAACACCGGUGGCGAAGGCGGCAUCCUGGACCAAUAUUGACGCUGAGGAGCGAAAGCCAGGGGAGCAAACGGG